UUAAAUAAAAAACUUAAACAAAAAUAAAUAAAUAAAUAAAACAAUAAAAUAAAAUGAAGUAAAUGGCCAUUUGGAGAACUCAAAAAAGGGGUGUGCCCAAGAGUUGCGGGAUUCGGAUUAGGACUGACCCAUACCCAAUCAUCACUAUAAAACCCUACAAACCCGAUAUUAAAUUUAUUUCCCCAACCAAAUUCUCUCUCUUUCUUACAACCUCUCUCAUUCUCCUUAUCCCCUCCCGCCCUACAAAUGCAAUAAAA
rnacentral:lncRNA from 1 species